GACGAACCGUGCGAACGUUGUUCGGAAUCACUGGGCUUAAAGGGUGCGUAGGCGGGCCAGUAAGUCAGGGGUGAAAUCCCACGGCCCAACCGUGGAAGUGCCUCUGAUACUGCGGGCCUGGAGGGGGAUAGGGGCGUGCGGAACUUCCGGUGGAGCGGUGAAAUGCGUAGAUAUCGGAAGGAACACCGGUGGCGAAAGCGGCGCGCUGGAUCCCUACUGACGCUGAGGCACGAAAGCCAGGGGAGCAAACGGG
rnacentral:rRNA from 1 species